CACCCACCCGGGUACUCCUGCUGCUCCUUUGUUUCUUUUGAUCCACCGGGUUGCUCCUGCUGCUGGUGAUGUUCCCUUGUCGUUUCAUGUCGUACCGGGAAUUCUAACCCCCGGUACUCUUUGUGUGAUUUGAAUAUGUGACGCCCUAAGCGAUGCGCCAACAUAAUAUGCGACUUGUCAUACGGACAAACCGCGAUUUUUUCUAGAACAAAACAAAGUAUGAUAUGUAGCGUUUCCUAUAAAACACACAUUUUUUUUUUUUAAACAAAACUUCCAAAAAGGGGGGUUAUCAAAUAAUUUUAAAAAUUGUUUUUUAAGUUAUACGCGCAUACCAAAAUUCACGUUUCAAUUCACUGUCAUUUAAAUGUAAGUGUAUUAUUGUCAAAAGGGCAAACUGCAAUUUUUUAGUACAAAAAAUAAACAAAAAUAUGUAUAUAUUUCGCGUUUUCCCCAUAAAACGCACAUUUUUGAAACAAAACUUUCAGUAAUUUUAAAAAUUGUUUAUUUUUUAAAAGCCAAAAUUCCCUAUUCACUGUCAUUUAAAAGAUAUUAAAAACGCUCAAUUUAAUUCGAUUAUUAUUGUCAAAAAGGCAAACUGCAAUUUUUUAGUACAAAAAAUAAAACAUUUUUGAAACAAAUUUAAAAAUUGUUUAUUUUUUAAAAGCCAAAAUUCCCUUUUCCAUUCACUGUCAUUUAAAAGCUAUUAAAAACACUCAAUUUAAAUCGGUUAUUAUGCAACGUAAAAAAGAUGAGUAUCAUAUUUUAAAACAGGUAGAAACUAACCAAAAAAGUGAUAACCCAAACUGAAACCCACAAGAAAAGACGCGCACUGUAUAAAGGUAAUUAAAAUAUAAAACUUACCAGUUGUAGGGUCGUAGGGAAAUGGACAUCGCACUUCUCUAUUCAUUGCACUGAAUAUAGUCUAUAAUACACAUGCAACGUAUUUAUACACAUGCACUCCCUUCCAUGGUUGAAUUAAAAGUCGAAAGGUCUUCUACCCACAAGCACCAACGCCGAUUUGAAUAGACGCGAUGUUGUCGCCAGACAACCGUGCAGGUAGGAGUCUCAGGGUCAACACGCUUUCACACGGGAACGCAACCGUUUCGGACGUUGGACGAACGUAUGUUGCCGCAAAAGAUCAAGGCCAACUUGCUUUCAUUUUUUACAAUCUCCGUAUGGGAUGUGGAAUUUCAAAACGCGCCGAGUCUAAAUGUCAAGUUGUUUUGCUUGUUGAGAAUAAUAAUUAAUUGCCCCCUUUAUAUUUGCUCCGUGGGAUUAACGUAAUGGGAAAAAUUUGUUGCAACGCAUGUGGAGGUGUCUUCGUUUGUUAACUUUUAGAAAGUAUUCUCGCACCGUAUAAAUACAUCUCAUUUUUCUCUGUUUUGUCAGUAGUUGUUUUUGGUAUUAUUCGUGCAACGUGGAAGCUAACUUAGUGGUUUGGUGUUCGUACAAAAAAGCAUUCCUAAAGAUCAUCUUAGUACUCUCAACCCGUAACCGCAAAUAGAAUAGCAGCAAUCUUAAGCAUGGACUUAAGUCAACUGAAUCAAACCUGUCUUGCAGAAGGUGAUUUUGAGCAGCCGAUUGUCAAACUGCAUGAAUUGCCGAUAGGCGUUCCGUUUAAAAUUACUAGAGCCAAAAUUGUUAAUACAAAAUUUGGCAAUUCCGUGUUGCUGCAAUUAGAAAAUUCCGUAGUAUUUCUUCCUACUCGCGUGACAGAAGCUUUCCGUCCGAGACUAGAACACUUUGCGUCGGGGCAGUACAAACUGGUCUACGAGGGAUCCAAAGAUAUUGGAAAGCCCAACUCUUUAAAGAAAUUCAAAAUAAUUCAAAAUUAAUCAACAUAUUAUACAGGAUUAUGGUCAAACAACUUACAUUAGAAAGCCUUUGUAUUAUAACAAUUUGCGAAAAUAUUAGGUGUAGUGCUGAUUUUUUGCUUGAGUCACCUUUGCCUUGGAAACUAACGAUACUAAUAUUUAAAUAUUAUUCGAAAUAUAGAUGGAGGUACCUUAAACAAUUAGCGCUCCAGUCUGAUGGCAAUUCUUUAUUAAAUUUAGAAUUCAUUCUGUUGAAUAAGAGAUUUGGAUCGUCUUACAGAAAUAGCAUUUUGGCAACUCCAACCAUUGAUUUUGACGGAGAAUCCGCUUACUGUUUAUGGGUCAGUUAUUACAGGAUAAAAUAUUCGGAAAUUUUAGUUUGUAAAUCUUGUCACUUUAUAUUUCAAGUAGUUAAAAAAUUUAAAAAGAAAAAUUUUAGACUUUUAUUGGAUCACUAUCAUUUACAGCUGGAUAUAAAUAAUUUGAAUGAUGUAUAUCACGAUAAACAAUUUUGGUGUCAAAGCUGCUUUGAAGAAGUUUUGUUCACUGUAGAAACUGAAGAUGAAUGUAAUUUAAUGCUUCACGAUGAGAGAAAAUAUGGAAAAAAGUUACGC